GACGAACGCUGGCGGCGUGCUUAACGCAUGCAAGUCGAACGGAAAGGCCCUGCUUUUGUGGGGUGCUCGAGUGGCGAACGGGUGAGUAACACGUGAGUAACCUGCCCUUGACUUUGGGAUAACUUCAGGAAACUGGGGCUAAUACCGGAUAGGAGCUCCUGCUGCAUGGUGGGGGUUGGAAAGUUUCGGCGGUUGGGGAUGGACUCGCGGCUUAUCAGCUUGUUGGUUGGGUAGUGGCUUACCAAGGCUUUGACGGGUAGCCGGCCUGAGCGGGUGACCGGCCACAUUGGGACUGGACUGCGGCCCAGACUCCUACGGGAGGCAGCAGUGGGGAGUAUUGCACAAUGGGCGGAAGCAUGAUGCAGCAACGCCGCGUGCGGGAUGACGGCCUUCGGGUUGUAAACCGCUUUCGCCUGUGACGAAGCGUGAGUGACGGUAAUGGGUAAAGAAGCACCGGCUAACUACGUG
rnacentral:rRNA from 1 species